AGUUUAUUCCUUUCUCUCUUUCCCAGCCAUGGCCUCUCAGCCACCAGUCACCUCUUCCCCCAACCCCCUGACCUCCCACUUCUCUUCUCAAUUCAACUGCUCUUCAGGAUUUCUGGUUGCACUACCUCUGGAGACAAGACUCUAGCAUUUGUUCUUGGAGACCGAGAUCUUCCUCUUCCCUGAGUCCCCUACCAAUGAUUCUCUCCCUCUUGUGGGUUUCUGCAGGGCUAGCAGUGCAUCCAUCAAACCAUUAGGGCCUCCAUGUGGAGAGGCCAGUUGGCUCCCUUUUUAGGAAGCUCUGCCCUUCCCUUCCAGCAGACCCAGAGUGGAAAGGGCCCAGGGUCCCUGCCUUAAGCUUUGUCAAGGGUGCCAUAUGUCAAGGGUGCCAUAUGAUGUUUUGUCUUGGGCCCAAGGGGCCUCAAACUGUAAGGAAAAACCCUCUCUGAUGGUUUCCUGGCUCAGACUUCUGCAAUUAACAGGACUUCUGCAACUAACCACCUUCUUGUCUGCCCACAUACAUGAUACUGACCUUCUUUUAUUCUCUCCUCUGUACAGAGUUACCUGACCCUCAGGAAGAUUUAGGCUUUUUUUUUUUCUCCCAUCUCACCUUGUAUAAAUAUGUCUUCUCAGUAUAGUAAUGUCAUUGGAUUGAGGAUACUUGUUUGCAGAGGAGGCAAGAAUGCGUUGUUCCGUUUUUGAAUUCCACACAUCUAAUAUGGAGCCUGAGCCACAGGGCUCAAAAUGUUAAGUAAACAAAUGAAUGGGAAAUUAAUAAGAAGAAUGCAUUGGCAAGACCGUGAAGGCCUGCCAUGGGAAGCUUUGGGAAGAAGCCAGCUGCCAUGUUGUGAGAACUCUCAAGCAGCUGUGUGGAGAGAUCCAUGUGGUGAGGAACUGAAGCCUCCUACCCACCAUCAAGUCAGUGGCUCACUACUGUUGCAGUGAAUUCUCCAGCCCAUGAAGACUUUAGAUGAUUUACCCAACAUCUUGAUUAUAGCCUCAUGGAUUCCCUGAGCCAGAACAACCCAGCUAAGCCUCUCCUGAAUUCCUUACCUACAGAAACUGUGAGAUAAUAAAUAUUUAUUCUUUUAAGCCAUCAAAUUUUGGGUAAUUUAUUAUGCAGUAAUAUGUAACUAAUAUAGAUAAAAAUAUUCAGUUUGAAGGAAAGAAGAAAAAUAACUUACAAUAAACUCAAGAAAUAAAAUAAAAU
rnacentral:lncRNA from 1 species